rnacentral:rRNA from 1 species
UGGGGAAUAUUGGACAAUGGGGGCAACCCUGAUCCAGCAAUGCCGCGUGAGUGAAGAAGGCCCUAGGGUUGUAAAGCUCUUUCAGUGGGGAAGAUAAUGACGGUACCCACAGAAGAAGCCCCGGCUAACUCCGUGCCAGCAGCCGCGGUAAUACGGAGGGGGCUAGCGUUGUUCGGAUUUACUGGGCGUAAAGCGCGCGUAGGCGGUUUUUCAAGUUGGGCGUGAAAUCCCAGGGCUUAACCCCGGAACUGCGCUCAAAACUGGAUUACUCGAGGCCGGGAGAGGGUAGUGGAAUUCCCAGUGUAGAGGUGAAAUUCGUAGAUAUUGGGAAGAACACCGGUGGCGAAGGCGGCUACCUGGACCGGAUCUGACGCUGAGGCGCGAAAGCGUGGGGAGCAAACAGGAUUAGAUACCCCCGUAGUCC